rnacentral:rRNA from 1 species
UGUAAGUAAGCUUUGAUCCAGAGAUUUCCGAAUGGGGAAACCCAGCACGAGUUAUGUCGUGUUAUCGAUAUGUGAAUACAUAGCAUAUCUGAAGGCAGACGCGGAGAACUGAAACAUCUUAGUACCCGCAGGAAGAGAAAGAAAAAUCGAUUCCCUGAGUAGCGGCGAGCGAAACGGGAAGAGCCCAAACCAACGAGCUUGCUUGUUGGGGUUGUAGGACACUCUAUACGGAGUUACAAAAGAACAGACUAGACGAAUCAUCUGGAAAGAUGAAUCAAAGAAGGUAAUAAUCCUGUAGUCGAAAGUUUGUUCACUCUUGAGUGGAUCCUGAGUACGACGGAACACGAGAAAUUCCGUCGGAAUCUGGGAGGACCAUCUCCCAAGGCUAAAUACUCUCUAGUGACCGAUAGUGAACCAGUACCGUGAGGGAAAGGUGAAAAGUACCCCGGAAGGGGAGUGAAAUAGAACUUGAAACCGUGUGCUUACAAGUAGUCAGAGCCCGUUAAUGGGUGAUGGCGUGCCUUUUGUAGAAUGAACCGGCGAGUUACGAUUUGAUGCAAGGUUAAGCAGUGAAUGUGGAGCCGUAGCGAAAGCGAGUCUGAAUAGGGCGUUGAGUAUUUGGUCGUAGACCCGAAACCAGGUGAUCUACCCAUGACCAGGUUGAAGUUCAGGUAACACUGAAUGGAGGACCGAACCGACUUACGUUGAAAAGUGAGCGGAUGAGUUGUGGGUAGCGGAGAAAUUCCAAUCGAACCUGGAGAUAGCUGGUUCUCUCCGAAAUAGCUUUAGGGCUAGCCUCAAGUGAUGAUUAUUGGAGGUAGAGCACUGUUUGGACG